rnacentral:lncRNA from 1 species
AGGGCAGGAAUUCAUGUCCCCACGGUGGCAUCUGCUUCCCAGGCUGUGGGGCCAGCAAGGGGCUCAGCUGCUCCCCAGCCCUGCCUUCCUCCAUGGAUCUGACAUGACUCUUUUAUGGGAAUUUACGUAAAAGUAACGCCUUGCUCAGUGUGGAAAAUUUAGGAGCUUCAGGAAAAUAUAAAGAAAAUUAAGGAAGUCAUCUCGCUUCUCAAAUACCGUGUUAAUUUGGGAGAGCACCUGCCAGGCAGCAGUGUCGCUCAGCUUAUGCGCAGCCAGCUUGGGGACUACAGCAGCUCAUCCUAACAAGAGACCAGAACUUCAGGCUGGUCUGAGGCAUGUGCCCACCUCUGGGUCACACGUCAUUCUUGAAGCAGUGGGCAAGUCAAAUAUCCCCACCCCUCCUGCACAGAAAAGGGGAGGAUCCCAAGAAGAGAAUGUGGGGGCUGCCUCCAGGAGGAGAAGAAAGACUUGUGGGUCCACUGCAGACAUCCAGGUGGAGAUGUCUGGAGCCCAGGGGUCGGGUAAGAGCUACAGCCAGGUUGGGGUUAUUGUGGGAGGAGCCGUAGGAGUGAAUGAGAUCAGGAAAGGUGGCCGGGGUAGACCUAGGACCUAGGGACCUAGGAAAGAGACAGACACGCUGGGGAAGAAGCGUCAGAGGACAGAGGGUGAGACGCUUGAAAAGGAAGUGGGCGAGAACAGUGUUGCCUAAAAAGAGGGAGCCCAGUUCCCUGAAGGUGAGGGUGAAGACAGGCCAUUGGGCUGAGACGAUGGGCAAAGGGCAGGGUGUGGGCAGAGCUGGUUUGGGACCC